GACGAACGCUGGCGGCGUGCUUAACACAUGCAAGUCGAACGGAAAGGCCUGCUUUCCCUUGUGGAUUGCGGGUACUCGAGUGGCGAACGGGUGAGUAACGCGUGAGUGAUCUGCCCCCAACUUGGGUAUAAGCCUGGGAAACUGGGUCUAAUUCCCGAUAGGACUGCAGGGUGGUGCCUGUGGUGGAAAACGAUUUUCUAGUGGUUGGGGAUGAGCUCGCGGCCUAUCAGCUUGUUGGUGGGGUAAUGGCCUACCAAGGCGGCGACGGGUAGCCGGCCUGAGGGGGUGGACGGCCACAUUGGGACUGAGAUACGGCCCAGACUCCUACGGGAGGCAGCAGUGGGGAAUAUUGCACAAUGGGCGGAAGCCUGAUGCAGCGACGCCGCGUGGGGGAUGACGGCCUUCGGGUUGUAAACUCCUUUCGACCGCGAGGAAGCCACCUGGUUGGAAGGGUGGUGACGGUAGUGGUAGAAGAAGCACCGGCUAACUACGUG
rnacentral:rRNA from 1 species